rnacentral:misc_RNA from 1 species
UAAAUUUAUUAUUAAUAGAUUUCAAUAUCUUAAAAAAAAUGCUAAUAGGAUAACAGCUCCCAAGUAUUUCAGCGUAUCAAACGAAAUGACAUAACAUUUGAAGGUCAAAAAACUAUUAAAUGACUUCCAAUGGCUAAUUUCAGUAUAUGCAAUUUAUUAUAUAUUUUACACAAUUCAUCUUGGUUGGUUGUGAAUUUAGGCAUUCAAAAACACACGGAGGCUGUUCUGCCAAGUAUCAAUCGGGGUGGCCAUGCAUUGGUCCUUUUGUAGUUCCCCUGGCAUUAGCAAACAUGUGUGGCUACUAUAACCCCUUCAUCAGUCUUCAUAAAAUACAUACAAGUCCCUCCUCCCAUUGCAGUCAUAGAUGCUGUAAAAUAUGAUUCAUUUCAUGUCCUCAAAGAAACUUGAAUGCAGUUGAACAAGAAAAAGAACUAGUGCAGUUAUAGUAUUCCGAACAUUAUUCACAUAGCUAGUUGCAGCUCCUACUAUGCUCAGCUCCACUUCAUUAUGGGGAAAGGCCAUUUUCGUUCUCGCGAGUUGGAUACUUGAAACCUGUCUUGAAGAGGAUGUUCUACAUAGCAAAUGCAGUAACAAUUCAUGCUGGUCAGAGAAAACACCAUGGCAAUCCGUAAAGUUUCCAAUGAAAGCAACCAGAGCAAAAGGGUGGUGGCGAAUGUAAUUUCGUGGUUGCAGCAGCCACAAAGAUAAUGCAAAUGGAGCCAAUUGCAUCCUGGUGAGAAAUCAAACUGAGCUUCCAUUUCCCAAGAGCUUCCAUCUUGCAACGCAUUCACAUAACCCCUUCCGUUUGCAGCUAUCUGCAACAAUAAAGAAUAAGUCAGUGCCAUUGCAUAUCAGAACAAGUUAACAAUAUCCUAUUGACCAAGAAUUGUUUAUAAAAGAUUUGGAAAGAAUAACAUUGCAUAUCAUAAUCACAGAGAAAAUUGAUGUGUCCAUAGAAAAUAACAAAGCUUUGGCUAAUACAAUGCAUUUCAAAACAACAAAAUAGGAAAUAUGGACAAUCCAACUAUCUAAAGCAGAAACAACAUUUAGGAUAAUUAAAAUUGCCACCAACAAUUUAAGAAUUGUGCAUGAUAAUUGAAAAUGACUCCUGCAAAUAUAGCUCUCUAUAAAAUUAGAACAACAGUCCUGAUAAAGAAGUUGCAACAAGUUCAAACCUCUAGGAAAUAAUUUCAGAAACACCAGUCAUACUGAAAAAAGCCCGUGAGCAAUGUUACAGCUACUGUAUUAGUGAAUUAUGCAUAUAUGAUCUCUGCAUUUAACUCUAUCAUCAUAAGAGAUGCACAAAAAGAACAGACAACAGAAGAAGAUUACAAAGAUUCCAUCAGCAUGAGAAAGUGAAAUAUAAUGAUGAACAAGGUAAGAGAUUGAAUAAAGGAAUAAUACCUGAACUUUUCUCUUUUCAAAGCAGAAAAUUGACCACAGAUCUCUACCAACAAUUCAUCGUCUCUUUUAUGCUGAAUUUUAUUCAACUCUAUUCAUUGGAAGUGCAUGACAUCCAUCUUAACGUAGAGGAUGCCAGCGAACGGGCCAAUAGUUUCCUUUUUCUUUAGAAAACUAGUGUUAGAGAAGAGGAAAAGACUUAUAUACUAGGGAUCCAAGUGAAGUGAGGAGUGUUAAGGUUCGGAGUUUGAGGAAACCCAAUGUCCACAAAUCUUCCAAAGAGGUGAGGUUUUGGAGGCUUCCUACAUAUGCAUCUCAGAUUCUUGAGUGUAAUGAUAAAAAGAAAGUUAACCAAAAUGGAAGUAGCCAGCCAUUGUCAUCUAGAAAGAAAACAGUAUUUGUACUUCAACUUUUGCCUCUUUUGCCUUUGAUUACCAAUCCCUCCAGAUCUUGCUUAUAAUGGAAAUCAACCCACCCCAAAUCUAAUUCUUCAACGCUUUGCUUCUUAUCUCAAAUAUUGAAAUCAUGUAACGUGAAGUUCCCCUUGUAGAUGAGCCUUAAGCAUUUUAAUUUUGGCACUAAGCCAUGUAGGACAUCACUAGUAACAAAUAGUGAUUUAUGGUAACAGAAAGAUAAUGCUAAGAAUGUUCUCUGCAAUAGAUGUCAUAACAAUGAGAAGUGAAUGAUGACUGUUGAAGCUUCAUUUAAGAUUUUGUAGCCUCCAACUUAUGUCCAAAUUAGAACAUAUUUCUAUUGAGCUAGAUCACUUACUUUCGAAAGCAAUUGUGCAGCUAUCCUACAUUAAAACUCCUCCAAAAGGCAUAGUACAUCCUAAUUUCAAGGUGCUCCAUCAUGGUCAUGCAAGAAUUGUACUUCUGAAGAUCUUGAAUCCAAACCAUUUCACACAUUUAUUUAGAAGAUCAGUGAGAGAGACAAUACUCUGUGAAUGCUCUUAAACAAAUCUUUGACACUUUUCAUAUCUACCACUCUUGUAUUUACUUUCACUUAGGCUUAAAUCAAAUCACAUAUCUUGUUUUGAUGAUAUAAAGUUUGAAAACUUUGAUUAUAAAGCAUGAAAAUAUUUAAGGUCUAAGCAUUGACCUUUUGCUAUCCAUAAUAAAACCAACUCAUUCUUGUCAAAUUCAAAUCUUUUGGAAAUAUUGCACAAUAAGUAAAGCAUUGUGCAAUAUAAUGCACAAUAUGCAAAACAUUGUGCAAUGCAUCACUUCAUAUGAAGGAAGAUAUUGGAUAUCUUUUGGAAACAUUGCACAAUAUGCAAAGCAUUGUGCAAGACAUUGCACAAUAUGCAAAGCAUUGUGCAA